rnacentral:sRNA from 1 species
UCCGACUUGCCGGCAGAACUUAGGCUGCGGGACCCCGGGCACUGUUGCUGCUGCGGGAGGCAGAUGUGAUUCUCCUUGUCACGUGCUCUGUCAGGGAGAAGGCUGAGCAGACCAUCUGGAACCGUUUACAUCAGCUUAAAGCCUUGAAGACAAGGCGGCCCCGCUCCCGGGUUCCUCUGAGGAUUGGAAUUCUAGGCUGCAUGGCUGAGAGGUUGAAGGAGGAGAUUCUCAACAGAGAGAAAAUGGUAGAUAUUUUGGCUGGUCCUGACGCCUACCGGGACCUUCCCCGGCUGCUGGCUGUUGCUGAGUCGGGUCAGCAAGCUGCCAACGUGCUGCUCUCUCUGGACGAGACCUAUGCUGAUGUCAUGCCAGUCCAGACAAGCGCCAGUGCCACGUCUGCCUUUGUGUCGAUCAUGCGAGGCUGUGACAACAUGUGUAGCUACUGCAUUGUUCCUUUCACCCGGGGCAGGGAGAGGAGUCGGCCUAUUGCCUCCAUUCUAGAGGAAGUGAAGAAGCUUUCUGAGCAGGGGCUGAAAGAAGUGACACUUCUUGGUCAGAAUGUUAAUAGUUUUUGGGACAAUUCAGAGGUCCAGUUCAACAAUGCAGUACCUACCAAUCUCAGUCGUGGCUUUACCACCAACUAUAAAACCAAGCAAGGAGGACUUCGUUUUGCUCAUCUUCUGGAUCAGGUCUCCAGAGUAGAUCCUGAAAUGAGGAUCCGCUUUACCUCUCCCCACCCCAAGGAUUUUCCCGAUGAG